rnacentral:rRNA from 1 species
UGCGUAGGCGGGCUAAUAAGUCAGUGGUGAAAUCUCUCGGCUCAACCGGGAGACUGCCAUUGAUACUGUUAGUCUUGAGUUCGGUUGAGGUAGGCGGAAUGUGUAAUGUAGCGGUGAAAUGCUUAGAUAUUACACAGAACACCAAUUGCGUAGGCAGCUUACUAGACCGACACUGACGCUCAGGCACGAAAGCGUGGGUAGCGAACAGGAUUAGAUACCCUGGUAGUCC